ACAAGAAUAAGGGUGACUAGAUUAUUCCCCCACGAAAACGGCGAAUGUUUAUACGUUUAACCCAACGAACAAGCAAAGUUGUUGCAUCACUGAUUGACGAUGGCUUAUUAAAAUUUACAAGGCAGGUCUAAUGAGCAAAAAGACCUAUUUCAGUGAUCAGGAUGCAGGACCGUUGGCGACACCGAAAUUAUUACAAAAAGAUCCAGCACCGGUUGAAAUACCUCCAAGUUCGUCGAUCACACCAAUAUCAACGUUUUAUGGGGACCAGUGCCGUAGGAGCUGAUUACAGCGGAAUGUACCGCUAAUUGUUACAAUUCUCAAAAAAUUGUGAGGAUAUUUCGGCUUGUUUGGUUUGCUGACGAAACCUGCCAUUCGUUAGUUGGGUGUUGACAGACAGACAGACAGGGCUUUGAUUUUGAUAAGGAUACAAAAUAACUACAGACGGUGAAAAACAGUAUGCCAUCUAACGUGCCACCCACCAUGCCAAUCACAGUUUGUUCAUAUUCAUAAAAGGACCACCACCCAUGAACGGCAUUGUCGAAGACAAUUUUUUAAAAUAACGACUUUUACGACUUGGUUACCAAUCAAAUUGAAAAUCGUGGAACAAUUUUAUCGAUAACAGUGGUGGUGGCGGCUCUGGUAGUGGACGGCGCCACUAAAGCAACUGGAUGAACAAUUAUCGUUGAGGCCUCCGAAGUAGCAACUACCGGCCACUAUGGCUAUCAACCAUUAUUCUGCUUGUAUAGAGCAUAUUUGUCAUAGAGCAUAAUAUAACAGCGCUUAGUAUAUAAGAUGAAAACUAUACCAAAUGAGCUAACGUCGAAUAUCGACCAUUCUUGGUUUAAAUUAAACUUUACUCACGUUUGAAUAACUUAAAAA